GUUAUUUUUGCCUGCGCUUUUGACAGAAGGCAAGCUGCUGGUAUUUAGUGGUUUAUGAGACUCUAUUAAGGCAGCGAAGGUUUUAGAACUGCGGAAGACCAUUGGCCUAGUCGCUGUCUGCAACGCCCGUGUGAAGCUGUUUAUUGUUAAACAUAUUAAUUGACUUAAGUGUUCCUCUAGGUGCUGUUAAGUCCAAAGCGAAUGGCCCAAGCUUUUGUUUUUACACCCACAGUCUCUGUUGCGUACCGUCUGGGACCAGAGGAGGAGCCGCGGGGCUGGGGGCGGGGGUCCGCGGCGCGGCGUGUGCAGGCGCACCGGUUAUUCCACUCCUGCUGUUCCCCUCUCCUGACUCCGGCGCAUUGCGAUGGAGCGUGGAAAGAGAUUCCCCUAAGUGACUGUGCUGAAAUUCCACUGCCAUGGCUUGCAGACAUUGGCUGUAGAAGAAGACUGAUUGAAUCCCAGGUGAGGUCCAGAGCGGCCCGUCACCCAAGCCUGCGUUGGUAACGUCAGCAUGCACGGGAUCAUCAGAACCAAAUGAGGCCUUCAGCGCUCUGUCUCGCUCUAUUCCCCGCUGCCCCAUCACAAUCUGGCUCCAUCCUGUGCAGCUGAUCAUCCAGAGGUUGGGGUCAUCUCUCUGUGUAUGUCUGUGUGUGUUUCAGAGUUUGAGGGGGUCGGGAUAUGCAUGUGAUCAAAUGCCUCUAUGUGGUUUAUGUGUGUGUGUGUGUGUGUGUGUGUGUGUGUGUGUGUGUGUGUGUGUGUGUGUGUGUGUGUGUGUGUGUGUGUGUGUGUGUGUGUGUCGUUCGUGCGUGAUUGUCCUUGUCUUUUGUGUGUCUCUUUUUUUGUGAUUGUGUGUUUGCAUGGAAAGACCACACAAACACAGAUUGCACCCACAGGAGAAACUGAAAGCUGGACACAAUGAGGAGCAAACAGCAUCUGCAACUGAAGUGAUGAUGACUUUCCAGCUGCUGCAUGUGUCCAAAAAACUGGUGCAUCUCCCCCCAAAAAGACAAUAUAACAGUGAAAUAUUCCUUGACACUCGGUGGACAAUACAUAAUGAUCCUAACCAAUAAAUAUUCAACCAAC
ensembl:lncRNA